rnacentral:rRNA from 1 species
CCUACGGGAGGCAGCAGUGGGGAAUAUUGCACAAUGGGGGAAACCCUGAUGCAGCGACGCCGCGUGAGUGAAGAAGUAAUUCGUUAUGUAAAGCUCUAUCAGCAGGGCAGAAAAUGACGGUACCUGAGUAAGAAGCCCCGGCUAACUACGUGCCAGCAGCCGCGGUAAUACGUAGGGGGCAAGCGUUAUCCGGAUUUCCUGGGUGUAAAGGGAGCGUAGACGGCAGUGCAAGUCUGGAGUGAAAGGCGGGGGCUCAACCCCCGGACUGCUCUGGAAACUGUACGGCUUGAGUGCAGGAGAGGUAAGUGGAAUUCCUAGUGUAGCGGUGAAAUGCGUAGAUAUUAGGAGGAACACCAGUGGCGAAGGCGGCUUACUGGACUGUAACUGACGUUGAGGCUCGAAAGCGUGGGGAGCAAACAGGAUUAGAUACCCGUGUAGUC